UCUGAAUCUGCGAACGGCUCCGCAAACCAGUUGUAAACUAUAGCAAGCAAGCCUUGUGCCUGCCUUCACGGGUGGGUGCUUGGCGAUAUGGAUAACCCUGGUAAUUCUGAGGCUAAUACAAGAACGUAAAACCUGGCUGACUGCUUUCGUGGAAGGCUGGGGGACGUGCGAGUUGUGUCGCGAGAAUUUUCCGGGAAUGGACGCACGUUCAGACCGCGCUAAAAAGGAUCGGCUUCCCUUCACGGGGGGGCUGGCCCCAGCGGCUCUUGCUUUGUGCUUCUGACCUAUCAACUAGAUGGCAGCGUAACGGACAUGCUAUGGUGACAAC
rnacentral:rRNA from 1 species